GUACUUUGGUGGGCUGUGUUCAUGUGAUUCAGUCCUCAUGAGUGACCUUUGCACAAUAUAAGGUACCUAGACACAGGACCAACAGAUGGCAAGAAACAAACCCUGCCCUGAAGAGCUUCCAGUUUCCAAGACAGAAAAGUAACGGUAGGGGAAACUGAGCAUUGCUAGGCUUUUUGUUCCAUCAAUAUCAGAAGAACUGUUUCCUACAGAACGUAUUCUAAACAUCUGGGAGAAAGACUGAUGCCUGGUUUCCUAACUUCCAAAGUCAGAACUCAAGAGUCAGCACAAAUGCACUGAAAAAAUGUACUGACAACUAUGGCACAUUUCAUGCAGAACAUCAGACUACAGGAAUGACAAAGCCGGAGUCGAUGAAAAACUAAAUUAAAGUUACAAGUUAAUAGGACCACAUUUCCAAAAAUGGAUUCCAGUUUUGUGCCUGCAUCCACAAAAAAUUCAAAUGGAGAUGCAGACCCCUUUGGAAGUCUUCCAUAUAGUCUGUGGACCACCCCCCAGGGGCCUGCGGACACAGGCUGAAAACCACUGAUGUAACACAUUGGCUCCCUCUAAUCCAUACAGAGCAUUAAAGCAAACCACUUA